rnacentral:rRNA from 1 species
GACGAACGCUGGCGGCGUGCCUAAUACAUGCAAGUCGAACGCAGUGGGGACGGGUGGGUAACACGUGGGUAACCUCCCAUCACAGGGGAUAACACUUGGAAAAAGGUCCUAAACCGAUACUGAUGGAUGGACCCGCGGUGCAUUAGCUAGUGGGUGGGGUAACGGCUCACCAAGGCCACGAUGCAUAGCGGGCCUGAGAGGGGGAUCGGCCAAACUGGGACUGAGACACGGCCCAGACUCCUACGGGAGGCAGCAGUAGGGAAUCUGCGGCAAGGGAGGAAAGUCGGACCGAGCAACGCCGCGUGGGUGAAGAAGGUUUUCGGAUCGUAAAGCUCUGUUGUUGGAGAAGCGGUAUCUGACCAGAAAGCCACGGCUAACUACGUGCCAGCAGCCGCGGUAAUAC